rnacentral:rRNA from 1 species
UACGAAGGGGGCUAGCGUUGCUCGGAAUCACUGGGCGUAAAGGGCGCGUAGGUGGCCCGGUCAGUUCGUGGUGAAAGCGCGGGGCUCAACCCUGCGUCGGCCAUGAAUACUGCCGCGGCUGGAGCACUGUAGAGGCAGGCGGAAUUCCGGGUGUAGCGGUGGAAUGCGUAGAGAUCCGGAAGAACACCGGUGGCGAAGGCGGCCUGCUGGGCAGUUGCUGACACUGAGGCGCGACAGCGUGGGGAGCGAACAGG